rnacentral:tRNA from 1 species
GGUGGCUCAGUGGUAGAGUGCUUGCCUUGCAUGCAUGAGGCCCUGGGUUCAAUUCCUUGCACCA